rnacentral:rRNA from 1 species
GACGAACGCUGGCGGCGUGCUUAACACAUGCAAGUCGAACGGAAAGGCCCUGCUUUUGUGGGGUGCUCGAGUGGCGAACGGGUGAGUAACACGUGAGUAACCUGCCCUUGACUUUGGGAUAACUUCAGGAAACUGGGGCUAAUACCGGAUAGGAGCUCCUGCUGCAUGGUGGGGGUUGGAAAGUUUCGGCGGUUGGGGAUGGACUCGCGGCUUAUCAGCUUGUUGGUGGGGUAGUGGCUUACCAAGGCUUUGACGGGUAGCCGGCCUGAGAGGGUGACCGGGCGUGAGUGGGCAGGGUGCGGGCCAAGAUGCAGAGGGGGGGAGGGAGGGGGAGACAUUGGAGGGGGGGUGGAGGUCUGGGGCAGGACGGCGUGGUGGGGUGUCGGGGUCGUCGGGUUGUAAACCCGCGUCGCCGGGGAAGAAGGGAGAGGGAGGGUAAUGGGAAAAGAAGCCACGUCUAGCGACGUGCCCGACGGCGGGGUAAUGGUGGAGAGACCUUGUCUGACC